rfam:Triticum urartu cultivar G1812 contig704977, whole genome shotgun sequence.
AUACUUACCUGGACAGGGUCUAUGGGCAAUCAAGAAGGCUCAUGGCCUAGAUCAAUGGUUCACAUUGCACAUAGUGAAUGUGUUGAUCUACCAUCUCCUUUUGGAGAGUGGACGUCAAAAUUUGUGUUAGAGUGGGGAACGCGUUCGCGCGGCCCCUGC